UCCGUAGGGGUAUCCUGCGGAGGGAUCAUUACACAACAAAAAUAUGAGGGUGUGGUUUGCUGGCAACAGCGUCCGCCCCAAGUAUUUUUCACCCAUGUCUUUUGCGCACUUUUUGUUUCCUGGGCGAGUUCGCUCGCCACCAGGACCCAACCAUAAACCUUUUUUUAUGCAGUUGCAAUCAGCGUCAGUAUAAUAAUUCAAUUUAUUAAAACUUUCAACAACGGAUCUCUUGGUUCUGGCAUCGAUGAAGAACGCAGCGAAAUGCGAUACGUAGUGUGAAUUGCAGAAUUCAGUGAAUCAUCGAAUCUUUGAACGCACAUUGCGCCCUUUGGUAUUCCAAAGGGCAUGCCUGUUCGAGCGUCAUUUGUACCCUCAAGCUUUGCUUGGUGUUGGGCGUCUUUUUGUCUCUCCCCUUGUUGGGGGAGACUCGCCUUAAAACGAUUGGCAGCCGACCUACUGGUUUUCGGAGCGCAGCACAAAUUUGCGCCUUCCAAUCCACGGGGCGGCAUCCAGCAAGCCUUUGUUUUCUAUAACAAAUCCACAUUUUGACCUCGGAUCAGGUAGGGAUACCCGCUGAACUUAAGCAUAUCAAUAA
rnacentral:rRNA from 1 species